AGAGUUUGAUCAUGGCUCAGGACGAACGCUGGCGGCGUGCCUAAUACAUGCAAGUAGAACGCUGAAGAGAGGAGCUUGCUCUUCUUGGAUGAGUUGCGAACGGGUGAGUAACGCGUAGGUAACCUGCCUUGUAGCGGGGGAUAACUAUUGGAAACGAUAGCUAAUACCGCAUAACAAUGGAUGACACAUGUCAUUUAUUUGAAAGGGGCAAUUGUUCCACUACAAGAUGGACCUGCGUUGUAUUAGCUAGUAGGUGAGGUAAUGGCUCACCUAGGCGACGAUACAUAGCCGACCUGAGAGGGUGAUCGGCCACACUGGGACUGAGACACGGCCCAGACUCCUACGGGAGGCAGCAGUAGGGAAUCUUCGGCAAUGGGGGCAACCCUGACCGAGCAACGCCGCGUGAGUGAAGAAGGUUUUCGGAUCGUAAAGCUCUGUUGUAAGUCAAGAACGGGUGUGAGAGUGGAAAGUUCACACUGUGACGGUAGCUUACCAGAAAGGGACGGCUAACUACGUGCCAGCAGCCGCGGUAAUACGUAGGUCCCGAGCGUUGUCCGGAUUUAUUGGGCGUAAAGCGAGCGCAGGCGGUUUGAUAAGUCUGAAGUUAAAGGCUGUGGCUCAACCAUAGUUCGCUUUGGAAACUGUCAAACUUGAGUGCAGAAGGGGAGAGUGGAAUUCCAUGUGUAGCGGUGAAAUGCGUAGAUAUAUGGAGGAACACCGGUGGCGAAAGCGGCUCCCUGGCCUGUAACUGACGCUGAGGCUCGAAAGCGUGGGGAGCGAACAGGAUUAGAUACCCUGGUAGUCCACGCCGUAAACGAUGAGUGCUAGGUGUUGGAUCCUUUCCGGGAUUCAGUGCCGCAGCUAACGCAUUAAGCACUCCGCCUGGGGAGUACGACCGCAAGGUUGAAACUCAAAGGAAUUGACGGGGGCCCGCACAAGCGGUGGAGCAUGUGGUUUAAUUCGAAGCAACGCGAAGAACCUUACCAGGUCUUGACAUCCCGAUGCUAUUUCUAGAGAUAGAAAGUUACUUCGGUACAUCGGUGACAGGUGGUGCAUGGUUGUCGUCAGCUCGUGUCGUGAGAUGUUGGGUUAAGUCCCGCAACGAGCGCGACCCCUAUUGUUAGUUGCCAUCAUUCAGUUGGGCACUCUAGCGAGACUGCCGGUAAUAAACCGGAGGAAGGUGGGGAUGACGUCAAAUCAUCAUGCCCCUUAUGACCUGGGCUACACACGUGCUACAAUGGUUGGUACAACGAGUUGCGAGUCGGUGACGGCGAGCUAAUCUCUUAAAGCCAAUCUCAGUUCGGAUUGUAGGCUGCAACUCGCCUACAUGAAGUCGGAAUCGCUAGUAAUCGCGGAUCAGCACGCCGCGGUGAAUACGUUCCCGGGCCUUGUACACACCGCCCGUCACACCACGAGAGUUUGUAACACCCGAAGUCGGUGAGGUAACCUUUUGGAGCCAGCCGCCUAAGGUGGGACAGAUGAUUGGGGUGAAGUCGUAACAAGGUA
rnacentral:rRNA from 1 species